UGCUGCCUGACGCUCCGACUCUGAUGGGGUGAGGUGGGGUGUCAUAGGCUUCCACCCGAGAGAUUACGGGGACCUCGCCCUUGUUUUACACGUGGGGAAACUGAGGGAUUUCUCCAAGGUCAUGCGGUUGGCAGUAACUAGGAUUCAAACGUAGGUAACAUGGCCUCUCAUCCAUUACAGACCCCAAGAGGACCUUUCUCUUGGUCCCCAUCCCAGUCCCAGCCAGUGUCUCCCUGCCCUUGGGAAGUGAAGACCUACCACAAAGGCCUGAGUGAAUUUCAGAAGUAGAGGUGAAGAAUUUAAGGCCCAGAAAAAAUUCUAAGUAACUUGCCCAAAGUCACAGAAGUAGUUAUUAGCGGAG